UAAUUGAAGAGUUUGAUCAUGGCUCAGAUUGAACGCUGGCGGCAGGCCUAACACAUGCAAGUCGAACGGUAGCAGGAUGUGCUUGCACAUCGCUGACGAGUGGCGGACGGGUGAGUAAUGCUUGGGAACUUGCCUUUGCGAGGGGGAUAACAGUUGGAAACGACUGCUAAUACCGCAUAAUGUUUUCGAACCAAACGGGGCUUAGGCUCCGGCGCAAAGAGAGGCCCAAGUGAGAUUAGCUAGUUGGUGAGGUAAAGGCUCACCAAGGCGACGAUCUCUAGCUGUUCUGAGAGGAAGAUCAGCCACACUGGGACUGAGACACGGCCCAGACUCCUACGGGAGGCAGCAGUGGGGAAUAUUGCACAAUGGGGGAAACCCUGAUGCAGCCAUGCCGCGUGUGUGAAGAAGGCCUUCGGGUUGUAAAGCACUUUCAGUUGUGAGGAAAGGUUGGUAGUUAAUACCUGCCAGCUGUGACGUUAACAACAGAAGAAGCACCGGCUAACUCCGUGCCAGCAGCCGCGGUAAUACGGAGGGUGCGAGCGUUAAUCGGAAUUACUGGGCGUAAAGCGCACGCAGGCGGUUUGUUAAGCUAGAUGUGAAAGCCCCGGGCUCAACCUGGGAUGGUCAUUUAGAACUGGCAGACUAGAGUCUUGGAGAGGGGAGUGGAAUUCCAGGUGUAGCGGUGAAAUGCGUAGAUAUCUGGAGGAACAUCAGUGGCGAAGGCGACUCCCUGGCCAAAGACUGACGCUCAUGUGCGAAAGUGUGGGUAGCGAACAGGAUUAGAUACCCUGGUAGUCCACACCGUAAACGCUGUCUACUAGCUGUGCGUGAAUUUAAUU
rnacentral:ncRNA from 1 species